GACAGAGGGUGCAAACGUUGUUCGGAAUUACUGGGCGUAAAGCGCGUGUAGGCUGCUUCGCAAGUCGGAUGUGAAAGCCCUGGGCUCAACCCAGGAAGUGCAUUCGAAACUGCAGAGCUGGAGUCCUGGAGAGGAAGGCGGAAUGCUUGGUGUAGAGGUGAAAAUUCGUAGAUAUCAAGCGGAACACCGGUGGCGAAGGCGGCCUUCUG
rnacentral:rRNA from 1 species